rnacentral:rRNA from 1 species
AGCUCCCAGAGGUUGGCCAGGAAGGUGGCCGUGAUCACCGGCGCCGCUAGCGGCAUCGGCAAGGCGACAAUGGCGGAGUUUGUCAGGAACGGCGCCAAGGUCGUCCUCGCAGACGUCCAGGACGAUCUGGGCCGCGCCCGGACGGCUGAGCUCUGCGCCGACUCCGCGUCGUACAUCCGCUGCGACGUCAACGACGAGGCGCAGGUCGCCGCGGUGAUCGACCUUGACGUGGCCUGCCACGGCAAGCUGGACAUCAUGCUCAACAACACCGGCAUCAUGGGCUCGUUGGCGCGGCCCGAGCUGGGCGCGCUCGACCUUGCGGAUUUCGACGCCAUCAACAACCGGGCAUCAUGGCCGGGGUCAAGCACGUGGCCUGCGCCAUGGCGCCGCGCCGCUCGGGCAGUAUCAUCUGCACGGCCAGCAUCGCCGCACAGCAACGAGCCAUGCCCUACGUUGCCAGUGGUUUGUCUUUUUUCUGGAGAAGACAGUGUACACGAGGAUACGUUGGUGGCGAGGUGGGUUUACAGUGGGCUAAACGGGAUAGUCCACUUAAUUAUUUUGUUGUCCCACGGGUGCCCACCAAGGUGA